UGCCAGCAGCCGCGGUAAUACGAGUGCCCCGAGCGUUAUCCGGAAUCAUUGGGCGUAAAGGGUGUGUAGGUGGUCAUGUUAGUCAGUUGUUAAAACCCGGGGCUUAACCCCGGAGGUGCGACUGAAACGGCAUAACUAGAGGAUGGCAGGGAUGUAUGGAACUCAUGGAGUAGGGGUGAAAUCCGUUGAUAUCAUGGGGAACACCAAAAGCGAAGGCAGUACAUUGGGCCACUCCUGACACCGAAACACGAAAGCGUGGGUAGCGAAUGGGAUUAGAUACCCUGGUAGUCC
rnacentral:rRNA from 1 species